AUUGAACGCUGGCGGCAUGCUUUACACAUGCAAGUCGAACGGCAGCGGGGUAGUGCUUGCACUACUGCCGGCGAGUGGCGAACGGGUGAGUAAUAUAUCGGAACGUACCGAGUAAUGGGGGAUAACCAAUCGAAAGAUUGGCUAAUACCGCAUACGUCCUAAGGGAGAAAGCGGGGGAUCGCAAGACCUCGCGUUAUUCGAGCGGCCGAUAACUGAUUAGCUAGUUGGUGGGGUAAAGGCCUACCAAGGCGACGAUCAGUAGCGGGUCUGAGAGGAUGAUCCGCCACACUGGGACUGAGACACGGCCCAGACUCCUACGGGAGGCAGCAGUGGGGAAUUUUGGACAAUGGGGGCAACCCUGAUCCAGCCAUGCCGCGUGUAUGAAGAAGGCCUUCGGGUUGUAAAGUACUUUUGUUAGGGAAGAAAAGGGAAGUGCUAAUACCACUUUUUGCUGACGGUACCUAAAGAAUAAGCAUCGGCUAACUACGUGCCAGCAGCCGCGGUAAUACGUAGGGUGCGAGCGUUAAUCGGAAUUACUGGGCGUAAAGCGAGCGCAGACGGUUACUUAAGCAGGAUGUGAAAUCCCCGGGCUUAACCUGGGAACUGCGUUCUGAACUGGGUAGCUAGAGUAUGUCAGAGGGGGGUAGAAUUCCACGUGUAGCAGUGAAAUGCGUAGAGAUGUGGAGGAAUACCGAUGGCGAAGGCAGCCCCCUGGGAUGAUACUGACGUUCAUGCUCGAAAGCGUGGGUAGCAAACAGG
rnacentral:rRNA from 1 species